rnacentral:rRNA from 1 species
AUUGAACGCUGGCGGCAGGCCUAACACAUGCAAGUCGAGCGGAUGAGGGGAGCUUGCUCCUGGAUUCAGCGGCGGACGGGUGAGUAAUGCCUAGGAAUCUGCCUGGUAGUGGGGGAUAACGUCCGGAAACGGGUGCUAAUACCGCAUACGUCCUGAGGGUGAAAGUGGGGGAUCUUAGGACCUCACGCUAUCAGAUGAGCCUAGGUCGGAUUAGCUAGUUGGUGGGGUAAAGGCCUACCAAGGCGACGAUCCGUAACUGGUCUGAGAGGAUGAUCAGUCACACUGGAACUGAGACACGGUCCAGACUCCUACGGGAGGCAGCAGUGGGGAAUAUUGGACAAUGGGCGAAAGCCUGAUCCAGCCAUGCCGCGUGUGUGAAGAAGGUCUUCGGAUUGUAAAGCACUUUUAGUUGGGAGGAAGGGCAUUAAGCUAAUACCAUGCUGUUUUGACGGUACCGGCAGAAUAAGCACCGGCUAACUACGUG